rnacentral:rRNA from 1 species
UACAGAGGGUGCGAGCGUUAAUCGGAAUUAUCGUGGGCGUAAAGCGCACGUAGGCGGCUUGGUAAUGUCGGGUGUGAAAUCCCCGGGCUCCAACCUGGGAACUGCAUCCGAAACUCCUUGCUCGAGUAUGGGAGAGGGAAGUGGAAUUUCCGGUGUAGCGGUGAAAUGCGUAGAUAUCGGAAGAACAUCAGUGGCGAAGGCGA